rnacentral:rRNA from 1 species
UAGUUUGAUCCUGGCUCGAGGCACGAACGCUGAGCGGCGUGCCUAAUACAUGCAAGUCGAGCGGACAGAUGGGAGCUUGCUCCCUGAUGUUAGCGGCGGACGGGUGAGUAACACGUGGGUAACUUGCCUGUAAGACUGGGAUAACUCCGGGAAACCGGGGCUAAUACCGGAUGGUUGUUUGAACCGCAUGGUUCAAACAUAAAAGGUGGCUUCGGCUACCACUUACAGAUGGACCCGCGGCGCAUUAGCUAGUUGGUGAGGUAAUGGCUCACCAAGGCGACGAUGCGUAGCCGACCUGAGAGGGUGAUCGGCCACACUGGGACUGAGACACGGCCCAGACUCCUACGGGAGGCAGCAGUAGGGAAUCUUCCGCAAUGGACGAAAGUCUGACGGAGCAACGCCGCGUGAGUGAUGAAGGUUUUCGGAUCGUAAAGCUCUGUUGUUAGGGAAGAACAAGUACCGUUCGAAUAGGGCGGUACCUUGACGGUACCUACCCAAAAAGCCACGGCUAACUACGUGCCAGCAGCCGCGGUAAUACGUAGGUGGCAAGCGUUGUCCGGAAUUAUUGGGCGUAAAGGGCUCGCAGGCGGUUUCUUAAGUCUGAUGUGAAAGCCCCCGGCUCAACCGGGGAGGGUCAUUGGAAACUGGGGAACUUGAGUGCAGAAGAGGAGAGUGGAAUUCCACGUGUAGCGGUGAAAUGCGUAGAGAUGUGGAGGAACACCAGUGGCGAAGGCGACUCUCUGGUCUGUAACUGACGCUGAGGAGCGAAA